GGUUUUAUCGCAAAUUUCCCCCCUGAAACCCCUAAAAUUUUCCCCUAAAGAGAAAUCGGUAUCCUCAAAACACCUAAUUCUUACUGAGCAACCCCUAAAAUCAUGCCUUCUUUGGGUUUUUUUUUCUUUGCUUUUUCCUCAGAUUUCUCUCCCAUUUCUUAAAUUUCAUCGCCUCCUUCUUCUUCUUCUUCUUCUUCUUCUUCUUCUUCUUUUUAUAUCUUUCUUUCCUUCUUGUUUAUAUAUAGAGAGCUGAAGCCAGUUCUGGGUUUGCCUUAAACCACAAUAAAAAUGGCUUCUUCACUCUCUUUUCCAUGCCCCAAGAUCUUUUUUUUUUUUUGAAAACAAACCAGCAAACCCAAACUCACAAGGGUUUUUUGUCUCUUCCUCCAACUUCAAAUUUCAACUCCAAAUAUUGCAGGCGUUUGAAGAGUUAUCGCAGUGUGGAACCAAGGAUGAAGGGUUUCUGUUGGAUAAAUUCUGUGAUGCUUAUUCUUUGGUUUUUAUUCUUUUUAACUCCCUCGGUCUCGCCUUCAAAUUCGCGGAGAUGGAGUAGGUAAUCUUGUGGAAGCAUCAAAGAGGUUUGCCACUUUAGAAAAUAUAGUUGAUGUAGAUAUAGGUAAUGGGACAGUGAAAAAACAGAAAAGCCCUUCGCGUGAUCUGCGUCGUGUUAGACAGGGUCUUGACCUCGUACGAGCUUUAUUUGAACAAUUUUUGUCAUCCAAGGAUUACUCAUUGAGAAACGCAGCUUCAACAGCUUAUGCUCAAGUAUUGCACCGUAUCACACAUGGGCGGUAAGGACUGUUGUUUCUGCUGGAAUGCAUACACUUCCAUCAAGAGAACAACUUUUGCUGAAACUGUUUCUUAAAAAGGCAGAAAAGAAUAAAUUUAACUGAUAAUCUAUAACUGAAAUGAAACCCAUCCUUUAUUAACCUAUAUAUAUGAUCUGAAGAUUGAAAAAUACAUUUUAACUUAUCAUAGAUGCUAUGUUUUGAUUUAGCAUUCUUGUUUAUCAUGUAAAGAAAUUGUCUGAAAUUGUAAUAGAAAAAAUUGGAAUUUCUUUUAUUGUUGUCUAUGUUUUACUUGUGAAUUGUGAUUGCAAUGGUUUACCUUCCUUUGGUGUAAAAUCUACUUGGCCAAUUGGAAUGUUCAAUGAUUUAUUUAGCCCUUGUACUUAGCAAUAUUACUUCUUAAUAAAGCAUAGUAAAAAGAAGUUUGAAGACUUGGAAUUUUAUAGGAAUUUAUUAUAUAAGUUUUAUUUAAUUUCUAGGUUUUCUUAGGGUUACAUGUGUUUUCUGUUUAUCUCACGUUUUAUGGUGUAGCUUAUAAGUACUUCUAUUAUUUCUGAUUUUUGGUAGCUUUGGAUCAAGAAAUUAUUGAAAUUUGGAGUUUUGAACUUGAAAUUUCCUAACCCUUGUAUCCUUUAUAGUUGUUUGACUUCUUGUAUCCUUUUAGAGGCGGAAUAGAUGUGCAUACGAGUGAAAAAGGAAAACUUGUUCUUUUUGAGUUUACUAGAUUAGACUAAUAUUUUCGAAAAUGGGUACUGUAGGACAAUCUCUUUAAUUGGACCCCCACUUUUUAACUUACCCUCUUAUUUAUUUUUUUUAUCUUUUUAAUUGUUAACAUGUAAAAGGAGUCUAAAUUACCUGGGAACACUUUAUGAAAAUGGCUGUACAUUGGUUAUUUUAAUCGUGUAAUAUUUCAAUACUUGUUUAUUGAUAAUUGUACUGUAUGACUGCUAAUUGUACUACAACACAUCUAUAUGCCCAUUUCUUACCUGUAAUCAUGUUGCAUAUGCGUUGGCUUUUUAAAUCGUGAAUCAUGAUUAAUGAAAAUGAGAUGGAUAGGUGAUUUCCAUCUAUAUGCCCAUUUCUUACCUAUAAUCAUGUUGCAUAUGCCCAUUUCUUAUUUAGUUUUCAUCUUCCUGCUUUACCAUUCACAUACCGAUGCUUCUGUCAUUUUUGGUGAAGCUUUAUAUAUACUUUCUAUCCAUUUGGAUGGUGAAAUUUACAUUCUUUGGUGCUGAUGCAGGCCCAUGCAUGAAGUUACAUUUUCAACAGAAGACAAACCAAAACUUCUUAGUCAGUAUAUGCUAGGUUUGUUUGUCAAAUAGAAGUGUAUUAUAUCUUGAAAAUUUUGCUUUAAGAAGUGUAGUAUCUUGAAUAUAUCCAGAGACUGCAUGGUUAGGGUUUACAUAGUAAGAAAAAAGGAAGGGAAAAUGUGUUUGGAAAUCAUAAAAGUUAAACUGCUAACUGUGUUGACUAUGGAAAUCAUAAAAGUUAAACUGCUAACUGUGUUGACUAUGCACAUUAUACCAAAUAGAACAUUUUACAAUCCUUUAGCUUCAUAACUUCAUUCAUACUUUUAGCCCCAUUUAUUUAUUUAUUUAUUGAAAAUAAUGUACAUUAUACCAAGCAAGCAAAAUGUACAUUUUUUUCUGAAAUCUGUCAUGUUUACAUAAUGUUCUUAUGCCAUUUCUUCAAUACCUUCUUCUAUAAAAAGGUAGUUGCUUGCUUCUACCUUCAGUUUUCCCAUACUUUACUUUGCUUGUUCAUGUAAGUCUUUGUAAUUAUCAUUUUCUAAACUACUUUUUCGUUUCUAAAUUAUGAUGCUCAGUUAGUGAAUCUGGAGAGUGGCUAUAAUUAUAGAGCUGUCAAAAGAUGGACUUCACAAAGGAAGCUGGGUUACUGCCUAUUGGACUGUGAUAAAAUAUUUGUCCUUAUACACAAAGACGUACAUUGGUGUUUUGCAGUUAUCAAUAAGAAAGAUCAGAAGUUCCAAUAUCUUGAUUCACUAAAAGGAAGAGAUCCUAAUGUGCUGAGAGCACUGGUUUGAUCGUGGCAUGUUUAUGUUAAAAUAUAUCAACUUCUAUAGCAGAGGCUUAAGUCUUUGUUUUGAGCAGGAACACAUGCCCUAUGCCCUAUUUUUGUUUAAGGACCGCCAAGGAAAUUCUGAAACUGAAAGCUGAUUGAUCGGAUGUGUAUGCCGGCUUUCAUCAACUACUUUCGAAGGCCUUACUAGGAAUUGAAAUGGUGUGCAAAGAGAUUGCUUCUUCUGAUCUGAUUUUUCGAUAUAAAUACUGGACAAAGUAUGGAUAUUUCUUGUCAGUUGCAUUUACUACUGUUAGUAAAAUAGGAUUCUCUUCUUAGGAUCUUAGUUUCUUCACUUGUAUUAGACUCAAAAAUGGCUUGCAUUGCAUUGGUGUUGAUUUUACCUAAAUUUCGAGGUUUACAAUUUUUAAUUUUUAUUAUUAUUUAAGCUUCAUUUA